AGAAGGGAUUGUUUAUGAGGGUCAAGGAGCUGGAGGCCUGGGGAGGAGCUGGUGUUUCUGUUCAAGUUUGAGGGUCCUGGAGCUGGAGCCCAGGGGAGGAGCCAGUGCUGCCACUGAUGUCUUAGGGUCGUGGAGCUGAAGAUCCCAGAGGAGCCGGUGCUGCUAUUCUAGCUUGAGUUUCGUGGAGCUGGAGACCCAGGGAGAAGAUGGUGCUGCUGUUCUAAUUUAAGGAUCGUGAAACAGAAGACCCAGAAAGGAGCUGGUGCUGCCGCUGCUCAGAUCUGAGGGUGUUGGAGCUGGAGCCUGGGGGUGGAGCCAUUGCUGCCAUUGAAGUGUGAGAGUCAUUGAGCUGGAAGUCCAGGAAGCAGCUGGUGCUGCUGUUCUAGUUUGAGGGUUGUGGAGUGCAGACCCAGGCAGGAGCAACAUUGCUGUAGUUCGAGGGUCAGAAAGCUGGCGACCCAGGGAGGAGAGGUCUUGUUCUAGUUUGAUUUUCGUGGAGCUGCAGACCCAGGCAGGAGCAAUGUUGCUGUAGUUCGAGGGUCCGGUAGCUGGCAACCCGGGGAGGAGAAGUCUUGUUCGAGUUUGAGGGUCGUGGAGCUGCAGACCCAGGGAGGAGCAAUUUUGUUGUAAUUCAAGGGUCCGGAAGCUGGUGACCCAGGGAGGAGAGGUCUUGUUCUGGUCUGAGGGUCCUGGAGCUACAGACCCAGGGAGGAGCAAUGUUGUUGUAAUUUGAGGGUUCGGUAGCUGGCACCCUGGGGAGGAGAAGUCUUGUUCUAGUUUGAGGGUGGUGGAGCUGCAGAGCCAGGGAGGAGCAGUGUUGUUGUAGUUUGAGGGUCAUGGAGGUACAGACCCAGGGAGGAGCCGUGUUGUUUUGAGUGUCGUGGAGCCGGAGAUCCACGGAGGAGCUGG
rnacentral:lncRNA from 10 species